rnacentral:rRNA from 1 species
AUGGGCGUCAGCCUGAUGCAGCGACGCCGCGUGAGGGAUGACGGCCUUCGGGUUGUAAACCUCUUUCUGGAGGGACGAAGCGAAAGUGACGGUACCUGCAGAAGAAGCACCGGCCAACUACGUGCCAGCAGCCGCGGUAAUACGUAGGGUGCAAGCGUUGUCCGGAAUUACUGGGCGUAAAGAGCUCGUAGGCGGUUUGUCGCGUCGUCUGUGAAAACUCGAGGCUCAACCUCGAGCUUGCAGGCGAUACGGGCAGACUUGAGUACUGCAGGGGAGACUGGAAUUCCUGGUGUAGCGGUGAAAUGCGCAGAUAUCAGGAGGAACACCGGUGGCGAAGGCGGGUCUCUGGGCAGUAACUGACGCUGAGGAGCGAAAGCGUGGGUAGCGAACAGGAUUAGAUACCCUGGUAGUCCACGCCGUAAACGGUGGGCGCUAGGUGUGGGUUUCCUUCCACGGGAUCCGUGCCGUAGCUAACGCAUUAAGCGCCCCGCCUGGGGAGUACGGCCGCAAGGCUAAAACUCAAAGGGAUUGACGGGG